UACGGAGGGGGCUAGCGUUGUUCGGAAUUACUGGGCGUAAAGGGCGCGCAGGCGGCUGCUCAAGUCAGGCGUGAAAGGCCUGGGCUCAACCCGGGAAUUGCGCUUGAGACUGGGCUGGCUUGAGUGCGGGAGAGGAUGGUGGAAUUCCCAGUGUAGAGGUGAAAUUCGUAGAUAUCGAGAGGAACACCGGUGGCGAAGGCGGCCAACUGGACGAAUACUGACGCUGGAGACACGAAAGCGUGGGGAGCAAACAGG
rnacentral:rRNA from 1 species